rnacentral:sRNA from 1 species
GUCGUGAGAUGUUGGGUUAAGUCCCGCAACGAGCGCAACCCCCGUCGCAUGUUGCCAGCAUUUAGUUGGGGACUCAUGUGAGACUGCCGGUGACAAACCGGAGGAAGGUGGGGAUGACGUCAAGUCAUCAUGCCCCUUAUGUCCAGGGCUACACACGUGCUACAUUGGCGCGUACAGAGGGCUGCGAUACCGCGAGGUGGAGCGAAUCCCUUAAAGCGCGUCUCGGUUCGGAUUGCAGGCUGAAACUCGCCUGCAUGAAGGCGGAGUUGCUAGUAAUCGCGGAUCAGCAUUGCCGCGGUGAAUACGUUCCCGGGCCUUGUACACACCGCCCGUCACACCAUGGGAGUGAGCAACACCCGAAGCCGGUGGCCUAACCCGCAAGGGAGGGAGCCGUCGAAGGUGGGGCUCGUGACUGGGGUGAAGUCGUGACAAGGUAGCCGUAGCGGAAGCUGCGGCUGGAUCACCUCCUUUCUAGGGAGCCCUCUCCAACAGGAGGGCACCGAUCGUCAGCAGGAUCGUCGUUCUUCGACCUUCGGGUCGCCCGGCGCUCUCCUCGAGCACGAUCGGCCACUAGAUAUGUCGACCGGACCUGGCGAAGCGCGCGGUCGAGCUCUCGAGCUCGGGUGAUGCGCCAGCAUGCUGUUGAGUUUUGAGAGACCGGCCCGCCGCCGGCGGCUCGAGGACUUCGGUUCCGGGCCUACGUGGGGCGGGUUCGCCUCUUUGCGGACCUUGAAAACUGCACAGUAGCCAAUGUAACGGGUAUCACCGGGCGAGAAUCGUAAGGUUCUCACCCAGAUCACCGUCAAGAUAGUAAGGGCACAUGGUGGAUGCCUUGGCACCAAGAGUCGAUGAAGGGCGUGAACGGCUGCGAUAAGCCGCGGUGAGGCGCUGAAUAGCCAGUGACCCGCGGAUGC